UUUGAGUUUGAUCGUGGCUCAGAUUUAACGCUGGCGGCAGGCUUAACACAGUGCAAGUCGGAGCGGUAGCACAGGGUGAAGCUUGCUCCCUGGGUGACGAGCGGCGGACGGGUGAGUAAUGUCUGGGAAACUGCCUGAUGGAGGGGGAUAACUACUGGAAACGGUAGCUAAUACCGCAUAACGUCGCAAGACCAAAGAGGGGGACCUUCGGGCCUCUUGCCAUCAGAUGUGCCCAGAUGGGAUUAGCUAGUAGGUGGGGUAAUGGCUCACCUAGGCGACGAUCCCUAGCUGGUCUGAGAGGAUGACCAGCCACACUGGAACUGAGACACGGUCCAGACUCCUACGGGAGGCAGCAGUGGGGAAUAUUGCACAAUGGGCGCAAGCCUGAUGCAGCCAUGCCGCGUGUGUGAAGAAGGCCUUCGGGUUGUAAAGCACUUUCAGCGAGGAGGAAGGUGGUGAGCUUAAUACGCUCAUCAAUUGACGUUACUCGCAGAAGAAGCACCGGCUAACUCCGUGCCAGCCGCCGCCGUAACACAAA
rnacentral:rRNA from 1 species